UACGUAGGAGGCAAGCGUUGUCCGGAAUCACUGGGCGUAAAGCGCGUGUAGGUGGAAGAGGAAGUCUGCUGUGAAAGCGCCUGGCUUAACCGGGCGAGGUCGGUGGAAACUCCUCAUCUAGAGGUCGGUAGAGGGGGGUGGAAUUCCGGGUGUAGUGGUGAAAUGCGUAGAGAUCCGGAGGAACACCUGUGGCGAAGGCGGCCCCCUGGGCCGCACCUGACGCUGAGACGCGAAAGCGCGGGGAGCGAGCGGG
rnacentral:rRNA from 1 species